GGCACGGCACUUCCCCGCCACAGCCGGCGCAGCCCGGCUGCUCUGAGGAGCAACGCUGCUGAGGCCUGGGGGGAGGAAAAUGAAAGGAAAAGGAGGUUGUAGCAGCGGGAGCCGCCGCACCCCGGCGGGAGGAGCGGGAUCGGGGGAGCUCGGGAGGGCGGCCUCUGCCACGACGCUGCCCGGAGCUUCUCCCCGGCGGUGCCCACCUGCCCGCGGGGGGAGCGGAGCCGGCUCCGGUCCCGGUCCCGGUCCCUUCGCCCUCGCUCGGCUCCCCGCGGGCAGCGGCUCCGCGCUCGGAGCCACCCCGGCAGCGGCGCGGGUUCCUCUCUCAUCCUGAGGACAAGGUCAAGGAUAAAGGGUCAAUGUCAAGUUGUCUUGACGGUGGAAGGCGACCGACCACGGCAGCACUCCCUGCUUCCCGCGUUUCUGGUGUCCUUGAUUGAUUUGAAAGUGCCAUUUUGAAGGGGAGCGGCGCCCGGGCACCAAGAGGACGCGAGGACUUCGCUUUUCCUUCCUAGAGCGAAGAAGUGAGGAUGGCACAGGACGGGGAUGUCACCGCCACUCUGCCUAACAGUAUUGUGUGUCUUAAAGUGCUUUAAUGGCUGGAUUGCUUUAGGUUUCAGGGACCCUCGGAGGACUGAAUUCUGCCAAGCGAACCCUCCGAGAGCCCGCCCGGAGCGCCGCCGCCAGACACCCAGCCCAGGCGCCCCGGAGCCCGCACUCCCCAGCAGCGUCCGCAACGGGCUCUGAGCGAUUCCCAGGGUUUCCCUCGGGAUCACGGAGCCUCCUGAAGGUCCAGUCGCGCUUCCCCUGCGCCCCGCUCCGCACGCAGCGUUUGUCCGCGGUGGCGCCGGGCUCCCCCCGGGGCCAGCGGCGGCAGGGAGCUCGCAGAGUCCGCGAAACCUCCCUGCAACCCUCGCGGAUGGAGGAGAGAAACAAUAAAGAACCCUGCUUCCUAAACCCGGCAAAACAUCUUGA